UAGCUCAAUCGGUUGAGCGUGGUGCUGAUAACACUAAGGUCGCAGGUUCGAUCCCCGU
rnacentral:tRNA from 1 species